AAGACUGAAUAUCUGACGAUGGAAAGGACAGGACAGAAAUGCUGUCAUAUCUAUAUCCUAACAACUUGCAAAGCCAUUUGAGAAGUUCCAGAUGGACUCCAGUCUCUCAGUAGCCCACAGGAUUGAAGUUUCUUAGUUGGCUUAAAUUAUGAAUUAGGGCCUUGAACUAACGGCAGGUGUUCGAAGUCCAGUUGCACAACCCUCCACAUGGGCCCUGACUUCAUUUCAUCAGUUUGGAAGAAUCUCCAGAAUCCAGGAAACUUUUACAAGUUGGCUACUCAUAAAUGUUUUGGAUGUUCUCCCCAACAGAGGCCUGCCCAAGAUCAUUAUCUAAAAAAACAUCCAUCACAGCCUCAGAAUGGAAUUGGAACUCCUGGUAACUACAAGGCCUGAAGAGGAAAAAUGGAAGAAAGAUGAAGGAACUGUAGAAGGGACCCCCAAAACGAGGAAGAAUGAAAUUAAGCCAGCCUCCCACCAACUCUGCAGCACUAAUACCCUUCUUUCUAGAAGUAGGAUAUGUCUUCUCUAUUCUGCUGCCCACCACUCAAAAGCCUGGAACUGGAAGAAACAAAUGGCUUUAUGAACUGCAGUGGACACCAAAUGUGUCAUCAGAUCCACUAAUGUUGAUCCUUAUGUCCUACCUGGGAAGUUCUGGGAACCCUGUUUCUCUCUAUGACCCUCAGCUCUUGUCAUGACACAGAAAAUAAAGCAUACAGUGGUAUGACAUA